AUUAAUGUCUGUAAGCUUCGUUCUCGUACUAUAUCCGAGCUCUAAAGACCCGAUGACUACGUGUGGGGAUUUUGUCCGGGUAAGACUUCGUAAUAAGAAUUGCUUAUAAAUAUAUUCAAUGCGAAAGGUUAAACAGGUAUGUACUCCAAGUUUAUAUGUGAGCUUGAUUUGCACUAAAUCAUAAGGUAGUUAUGUGAUGCAUACGAGAGCAAUCUAUAAGACUAUUUCUAUGAUUAUGUGACGUCGGAUCAGUGUGAGAGGUUAUGUGAAAUCAUACGAUAUAUCUAUGUCACAUGAGCUCACUUUUAUGUGAAAGUUUAUCUGCCUAUUGUAUAUGAUGAGAUGUGCAUAUUCGGUAAAGGGAUGGUAUGCCCGAAGGAAGAGUGAAAUAAAAAUACGAACAACUAUGUUAUAAUUUGAUUGUUAUCUGUUGACACUGCUUAAAACUUACUAAGCAUUGUAAUGCUUACUCCGUUUACUCUGUUUCCUCUGUUUUAUAGAUCUCAUUGCGAAGCUACAGGCUCGGGGAUCGUCAGCAACUCGUCACACUAUCACUAUCCACUGUUUGGUACUGCUACGUUUUGGAUUAUCUUAUGGCAUGUAUAGAAUAGACUAGUGGCGGAAGAAUAUUUUUGGUUAAUGUAUAUAAGCCAUGCGAAAAUGGCAUCUUUUGAAUGUUUACUUAGUGAAGUUUAAAUUUUAUCUCUGGCUGUGCUUAGUACUUAUUUAAAUGAAUGAUCUUUAUUUCAAGAAAAA
rnacentral:lncRNA from 1 species